rnacentral:tRNA from 2 species
CGGGGAGUGGCGCAGCCUGGUAGCGCAUCUGCUUUGGGAGCAGGAGGUCGCUGGUUCGAAUCCAGUCUCCCCGACCA